rnacentral:lncRNA from 1 species
UGUCAAUGGCUGACAUUGUCAAGAUGGGUAGGCCACAGGCCAAGGCAUCCGUGCCUAAAUCUUCUGUCCACAGUGGGAAUCAUCAGAAUGCUGUUUCAACUCCAGCAGCCUCGCAUCACAACUUGAAUGUUACUGAAGCGACUAAUGAAUGGCCUUCUAUUGAACCCAAUGUUCAACAGAGUGAUGAAUGGCCUUCUAUUGACCCCAAUGUUCAACAGAGUGAUGAAUGGCCUUCUGUUGAGCACCCACCAAUAGUUG